GAUUAACGCUAGCGGAAGGCAUAAUACAUGCAAGUCGAACGGGAUAGAACUUAGCAAUAGGUUCUUGAGAGUGGCGCACGGGUGCGUAACACGUAUGCAACCUACCUUUAACUGGGGGAUAGCCUCUCGAAAGAGAGAUUAAUACCCCAUAGUAUAACUGAAGAGCUAUUUUUUGGUUAUUAAAGAAUUUCGGUAUAUGCUGGGCAUGCGUGACAUUAGCUAGUUGGAGAGGUAACGGCUCACCAAGGCUACGAUGUCUAGGGGUUUUGAGAGGAAGAUCCCCCACACUGGUACUGAGACACGGACCAGACUCCUACGGGAGGCAGCAGUGAGGAAUAUUGGUCAAUGGACGGAAGUCUGAACCAGCCAUGCCGCGUGAAGGAAGACUGCCCUAUGGGUUGUAAACUUCUUUUAUACGGGGAUAAACCUAUCUUUGCGAAGAUAGCUGAAGGUACCGUAUGAAUAAGCAUCGGCUAACUCCGUG
rnacentral:rRNA from 1 species